GCUUGCUUCCGCCGACGACCGGCGCACGGGUGCGUAACGCGUAUACAAUCUACCUUAUACUGGGGUAUAGCCUUUAGAAAUGAAGAUUAACCCCCCAUAGUCUCUUAGAGUGGCAUCACUUCUAGAGUAAAGGUUACGGUAUAAGAUGAGUAUGCGUUCUAUUAGUUUGUUGGUGUGGUAACGGCACACCAAGACUACGAUAGAUAGGGGCCCUGAGAGGGGGAUCCCCCACACUGGUACUGAGACACGGACCAGACUCCUACGGGAGGCAGCAGUGAGGAAUAUUGGACAAUGGAGGCAACUCUGAUCCAGCCAUGCCGCGUGCAGGAAGACUGCCCUAUGGGUUGUAAACUGCUUUUAUACAGGAAGAAACACCUCUACGUGUAGAGGCUUGACGGUACUGUAAGAAUAAGGAUCGGCUAACUCCGUGCCAGCAGCCGCGGUAAUACGGAGGAUCCAAGCGUUAUCCGGAAUCAUUGGGUUUAAAGGGUCCGUAGGUGGAUAAUUAAGUCAGAGGUGAAAUCUUGCAGCUCAACUGUAAAAUUGCCUUUGA
rnacentral:rRNA from 1 species